GGGGCCGUAGCUCAGCCGGGAGAGCGCCUGGUUUGCAACCAGGAGGCCACGGGUUCGAAUCCCGUCGGCUCCACCA
rnacentral:tRNA from 1 species